GCUGGGUGUGGUGGCGGGUGCCUGUAAUCCCAGCUACUUGGGAGGCUGAGGCAGAAUAAUUGCUUGAACCCAGGAGGCGGAGUUGCAGUGAGCAGAGAUUGAACCACUGCACUCCAGCCUGGGUGACAGAGUAAGACUCCGUCUCAA
rnacentral:SRP_RNA from 1 species